AACGUAGGUCACAAGCGUUGUCCGGAAUUACUGGGUGUAAAGGGAGCGCAGGCGGGAAGACAAGUUGGAAGCGAAAUCUAUGGGCUCAACCCAUAAACUGCUUUCAAAACUGUUUUUCUUGAGUAGUGCAGAGGUAGGCGGAAUUCCCGGUGUAGCGGUGGAAUGCGUAGAUAUCGGGAGGAACACCAGUGGCGAAGGCGGCCUACUGGGCACCAACUGACGCUGAGGCUCGAAAGUGUGGGUAGCAAACAGG
rnacentral:rRNA from 1 species